CCGCCGCCCCCCCGCCCGGCACCCGUGGCAGCGGCAGCUCGGGCUCCGCCGGCGGCGCCGGCACUCCGAGACUUGCCUAUGCUUCAACAUGAAAGUGAGGAAGAAGAAUCCCCAAAAGUAUUAAUUUGAACAAUAAUUAUUGCUUAUAGGGAGUGAAGGAAGUUGGAAGUCAGUACAUACUGAGAUUUGGGAAGAGCUCUUCAUGUGGUCAGGUAAUGUAUAAAAAAUUUUGAAUGGUACUAAAUGAACCUGUGCAUGUAGCAUUCCAUGAAGAUAUGACUAUAUGAUACGUGUUACUUGGUAC
rnacentral:lncRNA from 1 species